GGUUGUAGCUCAGUGGCAGAGUGCUAGCCUAGCAUGCGCGAGGCACUGGGUUCGCUCCUCAGCACCA
rnacentral:tRNA from 1 species